CCUACGGGCGGCAGCAGUGGGGGAUAUUGCACAAUGGGGGAAACCCUGAUGCAGCGACGCCGCGUGAGUGAAGAAGUAUUUAGGUAUGUUAAGCUCUAUCAGCAGGGAAGAAAAUGACAGUACCUGACCAAGAAGCCCCGGCUAACUACGUGCCAGCAGCCGCGGGAAUCCGUAGGGGGGAAGCGGUAUCCGGAUUUACUGGGUGUAAAGGGAGCGUAGACGGUUAUGUAAGUCUGGAGUGAAAGCCCGGGGCCCAACCCCGGGACUGCUUUGGAAACUGUGGAACUUGAGUACAGGAGGGGCAGGCGGAAUUCCUGGUGUAGCGGUGAAAUGCGUAGAUAUCACGAGGAACACCGGCGGCGAAGGCGGCCUGCUGGACUGAAACUGACGUUGAGGCUCGAAAGCGUGGGGAGCAAACAGGAUUAGAUACCCCAGUAGUC
rnacentral:rRNA from 1 species